UUGAACGCUGGCGGCAUGCUUUACACAUGCAAGUCGAACGGUAACAGGUCUUCGGAUGCUGACGAGUGGCGAACGGGUGAGUAAUGCAUCGGAACGUGCCCAGUCGUGGGGGAUAACGCAGCGAAAGCUGUGCUAAUACCGCAUACGAUCUAUGGAUGAAAGCGGGGGAUCGCAAGACCUCGCGCGAUUGGAGCGGCCGAUGUCAGAUUAGCUAGUUGGUGGGGUAAAGGCCCACCAAGGCGACGAUCUGUAGCUGGUCUGAGAGGACGACCAGCCACACUGGGACUGAGACACGGCCCAGGCUCCUACGGGAGGCAGCAGUGGGGAAUUUUGGACAAUGGGCGCAAGCCUGAUCCAGCAAUGCCGCGUGCGGGAUGAAGGCCUUCGGGUUGUAAACUGCUUUUGUACGGAACGAAAAGACUCCUUCUAAUAAAGGGGGUCCAUGACGGUACCGUAAGAAUAAGCACCGGCUAACUACGU
rnacentral:rRNA from 1 species